AUCUCCUUAAAGGCUUUGUAUGCAAUGCCCUAUUUAGAAUGGUGCUGAUCUGAUGAAAUAAAAAAUUGAUCAGGGCCUUUCUAAGUAGAGUAAGGCUUACCAACUAUACAUUUAAUAUG
rnacentral:pre_miRNA from 7 species